rnacentral:rRNA from 1 species
ACAUUACGUUCGAAGGAUCGAUUGGCUUUGGUGACGAUGAAGAACGUUGCAGAUUGCGAUAUUGAGUGAGAAUAGCGUUAUUCAGCUCGUGUUCGAAUUAUAGAUGAUAUCUAUGAUAACUCCUUGGACUUAAGCAUAUCAUUAGAGGAAGGAGAAGAAAAUAACGAUGAUUUCGAUAGUAGC